rnacentral:rRNA from 1 species
AUGGCCUUACUUGCCUCUUGGGCAAAAAGAUACUUCACUAACCAUGAUAAUGAUUGGGGUAGGCUAAUUGACCAUAAAUAUAUAACUGAUAAACCCAACUUGCUUUGGGCCAAGCAAGGUGUGGGGUCGCCCUUUUGGAAAGGGGUCACAUGGGCCUUUAAGGGCAUUCGACCUUUCUUUCGGUGGAACUUGGGUAAAGGGGACAGAAUCAGUUUCUGGGACGACACUUGGGUUGGAGAUUCUUCUCUGAAAACUCAGUUUUGGGAGAUUUAUGAAAUUUGUCAACAACAAAAAUGUGUUGUAGCUGAGGUUUGGGAUGGUACUAAUUUGAAACUUACGUUUAGUAGAUGUGUGGAUUCUAGAUUUAUGGACAGGUGGCAUGACUUAAUUCAGGUGAUCUCUGCCAAGACCAUAACUAAUGAAGAGGACCAGCCUGUCUGGCUUUUGGAAUCCUCUGGAAUUUAUUUUGUCAAAUCCUUUUACAAUAUGAUAAACUGGGGAGGGGUAUCUACCCCAAUUUGGAAAAAGUUGUGGAAAAUUGUUGUUCCCAACAGAUACCUGGUUUUUUUGUGGUUAGCAUAUCAUAAUAAAAUUCUUACUAGAGACAAUUUAAGUAAAAGGAGGGUGGUUGAUAACUCGUGUUGUUUGUUUUGUAAUGAGAAUGAAACUGUUCAUCAUCUGUUCUUCGAUUGCGUAGUAGCUAAGCAAAUUUGGCUCGAUGUAGCGGAUGCUUUUAAUUUUAAUAUCCCAAAUGACAUGGUUGAGUUGUCAUCCUUGUGGAUGCUGAAUAACAAAAAAUCUGUAGUUAACAUUGCUUGUGUUGCCUCCAUCUGGGGGAUUUGGACUAUGCGUAACGAUAUAUGUUUUCAGGGGACACCGUGGACAAGCACCCGGACGGUGUUGAGUCGGAUCAGCUCAUCUCUACAUCAAUGGAAGGUUCUAUGCAAAGGCGAUCAAUCGGUGCUCCUCCAACACUGCCUCCUACUCCUGGACCGAGGAAGAGGCGAGCUGCUCAGGAUCGCCUGGGCUGGGGACUGA